UAAGUUCAAAUAUAAUCAAUGGCAGAUAUUAUCUGUCAGACUCAGCUGUUAAAGAACUGAUUAUAAUACAUUUUAUAAUAUAUGUCUGAAACCAAUAUCCUGUAAAAUAGUUAACAAGAUAAAUUAUAUGAAAUAUGGACACCCAAAAAUUUCACUUCAGAUGUAGUGGGUAACAAACAAUUAUUAUAUUGCACAGCAGGUGUACUGUGACAAUGUUUACCAAAUACAAUAACUUUAGACUUGGAUGGAUUCACACUGAGAUCAAGGAAUCCCUAUUUGUAAUAACUCAAGGCAUAGAAUAUCUAUGUUUACACUAUUAAAAGCACCUGCGAUGUCAAAGAAUACACCGACCAAGUUUUCAAUUUAUGGAUAUAGAGUUUUGUAUAUCCAGCUGUAACUGGCAAACGCUUUCUCUAGCAGAACGAUUUCUACGAAAACCAAAUUGAUUGGAAGGAAUAUGAUAACUAGUACCAAGAGGACAAUCAUGUACAGACCAGUCACAGUUGAGAGCCAGUGAUGAAGAUACCAAUGAUAAAUCCAAAGCAUUGGGUCGCCAUGUUGGAGAACCGAUAGUCGUUGCUUGCCCAUCAUUAAGGAGAACCAAAUUAUUAUCCUCAAUAACCUCUAGAAUAUUUCGACCACGCGGGCUGUCGGAACCACAGCCCCAACAAGUGUGAUGAGCGUUAAAAUCGCCCGCAAAUAUGAAAGGACUAGGAAUAGACUUAACCAAUGUAUCAAAAUUGUUUUGCUGAAGACUGGGUUAGAGUUUAAAGGACUAUAGAAACUAACUAUACAUAUAUCUUUAUUAUUAACUGUUAUUUUCACACAUACAUUUUGUAAGGAAUUAUCGAAAUAGGUGUUAAUUCUAGAAUAAAUAAUGCUUUUAUGUAUUAUAAUUGCAACACCAUUGUGUUUGUUACCACAAUCAUUCCUUUCAACAUUGUAAUUUUUAAUUUUAAAAUUUUGUUCAGGUUUUAACCAAGUUUCACUGAUUAUAGCAAUAUGAAUAUUGUGUGUAUAAAGAAAAUUAAUAAAUAUAUGUUUGUUACUAUUCAGACUUUGGGCAUUCCAUUGUAUUAUAUUUAAAGUUGAUAAAUCCAUUAUGAAGAUGAAGGGAAUUUAUUACUUAGCGUUGCUUUUAAAACUUCUUUAAUGGAAGUAGAAUUAAUAGGGGCAUCUUUAUUACUUAUUAUUUUAAUAAUUGUUUCAACUAAUGUGCUUAUAAAUGUAUCCGAUUUCAUUAAAUUAUUAAUUUGCGUAUCUAAAGUACGAGCAGAAAGAGCUGGAAAUGCAUUGGAGUCAAAAAGUUCUGAAUAUGUGGCAUUUCUAGAUUUUAUUUUAUUUUCUUCAA